rnacentral:rRNA from 1 species
AAGAUGGUGAACUAUGCCUGAAUAGGGCGAAGCCAGGGGAAACCCUGGUGGAAGCCCGCAGCGAUUCUGACGUGCAAAUCGAUCGUCAAAUUUGGGUAUAGGGGCGAAAGACUAAUCGAACCAUCUAGUAGCUGGUUCCCUCCGAAGUUUCCCUCAGGAUAGACUGGAGCCCGGUGGCAGUUUUAUCAGGUAAAGCGAAUGAUUAGAGGUCUUGGGGUCGAAACGACCUCAACCUAUUCUCAAACUUUAGAUGGGUAAGAAGUCCGGCUUGCUCGAUUGAAGUCGGACGCGGAAUGCCGGGGUUCCUAGUGGGCCAUUUUUGGUAAGCAGAACUGGCGAUGUGGGAUGAACCGAAAGCCGGGUUAAGGUGCCCGAAUCGACGCUCAGCAGAUACCAGGAAA